rnacentral:rRNA from 1 species
AUUGAACGCUGGCGGCAGGCCUAACACAUGCAAGUCGAGCGAGCGGCGGGCGGGUGAGUAAUGUAUGGGGACUGCCCGAUAGAGGGGGAUAACUACUGGAAACGGUAGAUACUACCGCAUACUAUCGGAUAACCCAUAUGGGAUUAGCUAGUAGGGGAGGUAAUGUCCAAACUAGGCGACGAUCCCUAGCUGGUCUGAGAGGAUGAUCAGCCACACUGGGACUGAGACACGGCCCAGACUCCUACGGAGGCAGCAGGGGGGAAUAUUGCACAAUGGGCGCAAGCCUGAUGCAGCCAUGCCGCGUGUAUGAAGAAGGCCCUAGGGUUGUAAAGUACUUUCAGUCGGGAGGCGUUACCGACAGAAUAAGCACCGGCUAACUCCGUGCCAGCCGCCGCGGUAAUAC